rnacentral:lncRNA from 1 species
AAUUAACACAAGAGUGGUCCAGUAAAUUCAUGCUCACCAAAUGUAAAGAUUCAUAGAUCCCGAGGACAGUGUGGCCACAGCAGCUGCCAGAGGGUGUCAUCACAACACCACAGGACAACCCCAUCCAGAUGGAGCCUUUGCCUCCUCUGCCUGCUCUCGUCCUACCAAUGGAGCUGGAUCCACAAAUGCCGCAGUAGCCAACGCCUUCUACAUUGUGGUAUGGGCCUCAGGAGGUGGACAUGUACCCUUCUGGAUGUCUUCCGGGGGACAUUUCCACCAGUGCACAGGCCAGAUAGUGGGGUAUGACUGGAAGUCUCACGUCCCCUGCAGCCACAGCUUCCAGUCCAUUAGUGUGUCCACCCUGCUGCCUCCCCCACUGUUUUCGUGCUCCAUAUACAAUGACAGUCCAUCACCUUGGUGGGGAGCAAUGUAACGGCAUAAAGUCAAGCACCAGCAUGCUAUUUGGGAAUGAUAGAAAAGAGGUGGCUGUGAGAAGACGUCAGCCAGUCACACGCUGACUGACCCCUCUCCAGGAUGACUACACGACAACAGCAGCCCCUAUGUGAAGAGGACAUAAGUGCCGUGACUGACUGGUGAUGCUCCAGUUGAAUAGCCACUUCACGACCAGCGGCUGGAUAGAAGCGUCAGUGCUCAUUACUUUGCUUGUACACUCUAUGUAACACAGACAUGGGAACUGUUAUACUGAAGAAAUUGCUUAUUUUGUAUGUCACUCUUUGCUUGUGACACAGCUGUGUAAUUGUCAGAUUUAAGUAUUGUCUUUUAAUUUUUUGUAAUAAAACUCAUUAAUAUGA